rnacentral:lncRNA from 1 species
CGACGUGUGGUGGAACGGCGAUGCGACAGAGUGCUGCACAUGGCUGAAACUGAAUAAAUGGUGCUGCACACGUCGAAAAGGCUCAGAAAUCUGUCUUUAGAAAAGGGCAAGAGCACCAAAGGAAUUAUAACUGCCAUGGCCUCUAUGGCACCUUUGUCACAGGAGCAUGGU